AUUGAACGCUGGCGGCAGGCCUAACACAUGCAAGUCGAGCGGAGCGGCGGAGGGGUGAGUAAUGCCUAUGACUCUGCCUGGUAGUGGGGGAUAACGUUAGGAAACGGGCGCUAAUACUGCAUACUCUCAGAUGAGCCUAGGUCGGGUUGGCUAGUUGGUGGGGUAAAGGCCUACCAAGGCGACGAUCCGUAACCGGUCCUAGAGGAUGAUCAGUCACACUGGAACUGCGACACGGUCCAGACUCCUACGGUAGGCAGCAGUGGGGAAUAUUGGACAAUGGGCGGAAGCCUGUUCCAGCCAUGCCGCGUGUGUGAAGAAGGUCUUCGGAUUGUAAAGCACUUUAAGUUGGGAGGCGUUACCAACAGAAUAAGCACCGGCUAACUUCGUGCCAGCAGCCGCGGUAAUAC
rnacentral:rRNA from 1 species